GUUAUCGAUGGCUCACUCUAACUUCCCAGAUUUUUUUGAACUACAUUUCCCAAAAUGCUCAGCCAGAUUAGAUUAAAAUUGUAUAUUACAGGAGGUAAAGCUUAUGAAGACAAGCUCAUUUCCAAUGUAUCUUAAGGAGUGGAAAUUAUUUUAAAAAUUGGGGCCCAUAUACAAAGAGUAUAGGCAUUCCAAGACAUUAAACGCAGUGGUAAUAGCACUAUUUAUGCCAUGUGUUU